CGAUAUUGCACAAAUAAUACAAAUAAUACGGAAAAGUGCAAAGGAAUAACUUUUCAUCAGUUUCCAUGUCUGGGCCGUGAAGAAAGGGAAAAAUGGGUAAAAUUUGUCCAAAACAACCGCAGUGAAGAAACCUGGUUACCAUCCGAUAGAACUUGCGUCUGUUCAUUGCAUUUUCGCGAUGAGGAUAAAUAUACCACAAAAGCGGGAAGGCGUUUUCUAAAGAAGUCUGCUGUUCCUUGUAUUGAUCCGAAGGUGUGCUACAAUAGUAUUGGCAAUACAAGCAAUUUCUGAGCCGGGAACAUGUUCUGAGGAAAAAAAAAUAAACGGCUUUUAUUUUAUUUUUUUCUAAAAAAGGCUCACUUUGUAAGGAAUGAAACUUCCCAUAGCCCUGACUGAACCUAAAACGCGAAAAAAAUUAAAUUAUACCAUAUGACGUCACUAUUUACAUCAUCCUAUAUUAUAUGCCAGAUAUUGUUAGCCCCGCGUAGUAAAUAAUAAUAAUAUAAUAAAUUCUUUAUUUAAGAGUAACAAAGACCCACAAAAAUCACUAAUACACAUAAUAUGAAAUAUAAAUCACAAUCAUAAA